GUAGGUGUUUAAUUGGCUGCAUUGUAUGGUAAAACACUAGCUGGAUUCUAAUGUCUUGACUGAUGUCAUGACAUGCUGUGAAGGUGUUUGUGUGACUGCAUUGUAGGUUAGAAUAUCUAACUGUACUCUGAUGUCUUGACUGAUGUCAUGACACACUUGAGUAGUUUACUGCAGGAUUAGCUAAUACAGGAUUUAUUGAAUGUCAAAUUGGAUGUGG
rnacentral:lncRNA from 1 species